rnacentral:rRNA from 1 species
UCUGACGGAGCAACGCCGCGUGAACGAAGAAGGUCUUCGGAUUGUAAAGUUCUGUGAUUCGGGACGAAAGGGUUUGUGGCGAAUAAUCAUAGACAUUGACGGUACCGAAAAAGCAAGCCACGGCUAACUACGUGCCAGCAGCCGCGGUAAUACGUAGGUGGCAAGCGUUGUCCGGAAUUAUUGGGCGUAAAGCGCGCGCAGGCGGUUUCUUAAGUCCAUCUUAAAAGCGUGGGGCUCAACCCCAUGAGGGGAUGGAAACUGGGAAGCUGGAGUAUCGGAGAGGAAAGUGGAAUUCCUAGUGUAGCGGUGAAAUGCGUAGAGAUUAGGAAGAAUACCGGUGGCGAAGGCGACUUUCUAGACGAAAACUGACGCUGAGGCGCGAAAGCGUGGGGAGCAAACAGGAUUAGAUACCCUGGUAGUCCACGCCGUAAACGAUGGAUACUAGGUGUAGGAGGUAUCGACCCCUCCUGUGCCGGAGUUAACGCAAUAAGUAUUCCCGCCUGGGAAGUACGAUCGCAAGAUUAAACUCAAAGGAAUUGACGGGGCCCGCACAAGCGGUGGAGUAUGUGGUUUAAUUCGACGCACGCGAAGAAC